rnacentral:rRNA from 1 species
CACGGGAGUUGGUUGUACCAGAAGCAGUUGAGCUAACCGCAAGGAGGCAGGCUGCCAAGGUAUGGCUAGUAACUGGGGUGAAGUCGUAACAAGGUAGCCCUAGGGGAACCUGGGGCUGGAUCACCUCCUUU